CAUUAAAAGUAUAUAGUUAUACAUUCUGUGUAUCGACUAAAUAUACCCAUUCUGAGUACCUUGCCUGUUGCUUCCAUGGAGCCUGACACAUGUCACUCUGGGGAUUUACAUCCCGAGGGAGCCUCCGUGGAAGGUAAUCAAUUAACUCUUGAAUCCAAUGUCAUCUGUCUGAUAAUGUUUAUAACAAAUGUUAAAACUUUCAACAACGGAUCUCUUGGUUCUCGCAUCGAUGAAGAACGCAGCGAAAUGCGAUAAGUAGUGUGAAUUGCAGAAUUCAGUGAAUCAUCGAAUCUUUGAACGCACAUUGCGCCUCCUGGUAUUCCGGGAGGCAUGCCUGUUCGAGCGUCAUUAAAUACCACUCAAGCUCUUCUGCUUGGUCAUGGAAGAAGAGAAUGCUUGCAUCCUCUCUUCUGAAAUCGAACGGCGGACUGCCUCAUGUGCCUCGCGUAGUAAGUUCAUCUUUUCGCUUGGAGUGUGAGAUAGUCUCGCCAUCAACCCCCAUACUUCUAAGGUUGACCUCGGAUCAGGUAGGGAUACCCGCUGAACUUAAGCAUAUCAAUA
rnacentral:rRNA from 1 species